GACGAACGCUGGCGGCGUGCUUAACACAUGCAAGUCGAACGGAAAGGCCCUGCUUUUGUGGGGUGCUCGAGUGGCGAACGGGUGAGUAACACGUGAGUAACCUGCCCUUGACUUUGGGAUGACUUCAGGAAACUGGGGCUAAUACCGGAUCGGAGCUCCUGCUGCAUGGUGGGGGUUGGAAAGUCUCGGCGGGUGGGGAUGGACUCGCGGCUUAUCAGCUUGUUGGUGGGGUAGUGGCUUACCAAGGCUUUGACGGGUAGCCGGCCUGAGAGGGUGGCCGGCCACAUUGGGACUGAGAUACGGACCAGACUCCUACGGGAGGCAGCAGUGGGGAAUAUUGCACAAUGGGCGGAAGCCUGAUGCAGCAACGCCGCGUGCGGGAUGACGGCCUUCGGGUUGUAAACCGCUUUCGCCUGUGACGCAGCGUGAGUGACGGUAAUGGGUAAAGAAGCACCGGCUAACUACGUG
rnacentral:rRNA from 1 species